rnacentral:lncRNA from 1 species
GUUUAAUGAAUCUAAUAUACCUUGUUUGAAAUCUGAAAAUAACACAACUGAAUUUGGUCAGACUGAAAAUGAAAGAAGGGAAAGUGAAAUUAAGGUGGAGUAAGUUAAUAAUAAUAAUCUACAACCUGAUCAGAGUGGAAAUAGUGAAAUUGAGGUUCAAAAUAUCAAUGAAACUGAUCUGAAUGAAUCUGAUUUUGAAGUAAAUCAACCCUUAAAUGAUUAUCAACUUGCAAAGAUAGAGAAAGGAAACAAAUAAGACCACUUGUGAGGUUUGAUGAUGAAAUGUCCCUUCUUACUGUUUAGGGGUUCAUUGAGAAUGAACCCGAGUCCUAUAAAGAUGCUAUGAGUAGUAAGAACUCUAAGCAUUGGCUUGCAUCAAUGCAUGAUGAGAUGGAAUUUUUGAGGAAGAAUAAAACUUGGACCUUAGUCAAGAG